GGCCCCUUCGUCUAAUCGGCAAGGACGCCGGCUUCUCAAGCCGGUAAUGCUGAGUUCAAGUCUCACAGGGGUCACCA
rnacentral:tRNA from 1 species